CGGGUGAGUAAUACAUCGGGAACGUGUCCUGUAGUGGGGGAUAGCCCGGCGAAAGCCGGAUUAAUACCGCAUACGAUCUACGGAAGAAAGCGGGGGAUCUUAGGACCUCGCGCUAUAAGGGCGGCCGAUGGCAGAUUAGCUAGUUGGUGGGGUAAAGGCCUACCAAGGCGACGAUCUGUAGCUGGUCUGAGAGGACGACCAGCCACACUGGGACUGAGAUACGGCCCAGACUCCUACGGGAGGCAGCAGUGGGGAAUUUUGGACAAUGGGGGAAACCCUGAUCCAGCAACGCCGCGUGUGUGAAGAAGGCCUUCGGGUUGUAAAGCACUUUUGUCCGGAAAGAAAACUUCCUGGUUAAUACCUGGGGAGGAUGACGGUACCGGAAGAAUAAGCACCGGCUAACUACGUGCCAGCAGCCGCGGUAAUACGUAGGGUGCGAGCGUUAAUCGGAAUUACUGGGCGUAAAGCGUGCGCAGGCGGUUCGUUAAGAUAGAUGUGAAAUCCCCGGGCUUAACCUGGGAACUGCAUUUGUGACUGGCGAGCUAGAGUAUGGCAGAGGGGGGUAGAAUUCCACGUGUAGCAGUGAAAUGCGUAGAGAUGUGGAGGAAUACCGAUGGCGAAGGCAGCCCCCUGGGCCAAUACCGACGCUCAUGCACGAAAGCGUGGGGAGCAAACAGGAUUAGAUACCCUGGUAGUCCACGCCCUAAACGAUGUCAACUAGUUGUUGGGGAUUCAUUUCCUUAGUAACGUAGCUAACGCGUGAAGUUGACCGCCUGGGGAGUACGGUCGCAAGAUUAAAACUCAAAGGAAUUGACGGGGACCCGCACAAGCGGUGGAUGAUGUGGAUUAAUUCGAUGCAACGCGAAAAACCUUACCUACCCUUGACAUGGUCAGAACCCUGCUGAAAGGUGGGGGUGCUCGAAAGAGAACCGAUACACAGGUGCUGCAUGGCUGUCGUCAGCUCGUGUCGUGAGAUGUUGGGUUAAGUCCCGCAACGAGCGCAACCCUUGUCCUUAGUUGCUACGCAAGAGCACUCUAAGGAGACUGCCGGUGACAAACCGGAGGAAGGUGGGGAUGACGUCAAGUCCUCAUGGCCCUUAUGGGUAGGGCUUCACACGUCAUACAAUGGUCGGAACAGAGGGCUGCCAACCCGUGAGGGGGAGCUAAUCCCAGAAAACCGAUCGUAGUCCGGAUCGUAGUCUGCAACUCGACUACGUGAAGCUGGAAUCGCUAGUAAUCGCGGAUCAGCAUGCCGCGGUGAAUACGUUCCCGGGUCUUGUACACACCGCCCGUCACACCAUGGGAGUGGGUUUUACCAGAAGUGGCUAGUCUAACCGCAAGGAGGACGGUCACCACGGUAGGAUUCAUGACUGGGGUGAAGUCGUAACAAGGUAGCCGUAUCGGAAGGUGCGGCUGGAUCACCUCCUUUCUCGAGCUCAACGUUUCAAAGUGAAGUGCUAAAGCGCUCACGCUUAUCGGCUGUAAGAAGACAGGCUAAGGGUCUGUAGCUCAGCUGGGAAAGCACGUGCUUUGCAAGCAGGGGAUCGUCGGUUCGAUCCCGUCAUCCUCCACCAAUCAUCAAUGCACAGUACUCUUAAGCGAAGAGUUUAAGUAAAGAGUGGUGCGUAUUGGCGAUUGAGCCAGUCAGUAAGCAGCUUAAAGCAUAGCGCUUUAAGUUGUGCUGUCGUUCUUUAACAAUCUGGAAGAAGUAGUAAAGGUCAUUUGAAAGCGCCCAGAGAUGGGCGUGAUUAAGAUGAUCAGGGUUGUGAUUGUAUCAAUGUAUGAAAAGGUGAUCGAAAGAUUGCUUUGGAAUACGGCGCAACACGGAUACUCAACCUAUAGCGGGGUGAAAGAGUUUCCACGGAUGCUGAGUUUCGGUUCGGUGUAGGUGGGAUGCUCGGAGACACACUCGUUAUAGGGUUAAGCGAACAAGUGCAUGUGGUGGAUGCCUUGGCGAUCACAGGCGAUGAAGGACGCGGUAGCCUGCGAAAAGCGACGGGGAGCUGGCAAACGAGCUUUGAUCCGUCGAUGUCCGAAUGGGGAAACCCGGCCCUUCUGGGUCAUCCUGAGCUGAAUACAUAGGCUCAGUGAAGCGAACGCGGUGAACUGAAACAUCUAAGUAACCGCAGGAAAAGAAAUCAACCGAGAUUCCCAAAGUAGUGGCGAGCGAAAUGGGAUCAGCCUGUACUCUUUAGCACGACCGUUAGCCGAACACUCUGGAAAGUGUGGCCAUAGCAGGUGAUAGCCUUGUAGGCGGAAGCGGAUGUGUGGAACUAGGUGUACGACAAGUAGGGCGGGACACGUGAAAUCCUGUCUGAAGAUGGGGGGACCAUCCUCCAAGGCUAAAUACUCGUGAUCGACCGAUAGUGAACCAGUACCGUGAGGGAAAGGCGAAAAGAACCCCGGGAGGGGAGUGAAAUAGAUCCUGAAACCGCAUGCAUACAAACAGUCGGAGCCUUUGCGAAGGGGUGACGGCGUACCUUUUGUAUAAUGGGUCAGCGACUUACGUUCAGUAGCAAGCUUAACUGAUUAAGGCAGGCGUAGCGAAAGCGAGUCCGAAUAGGGCAUUCAGUUGCUGGGCGUAGACCCGAAACCAAGUGAUCUAUCCAUGGCCAGGUUGAAGGUGCGGUAACACGUACUGGAGGACCGAACUCACUAAUGUUGAAAAAUUAGGGGAU
rnacentral:rRNA from 1 species